UUACAACCCUAAGGCCUUCUUCCUGCACGCGGCAUUGCUGGAUCAGGCUUUCGCCCAUUGUCCAAGAUUCCCCA
rnacentral:rRNA from 1 species